AUGGAUGCUGCUCUUGCAACUACUCGAUUCUCACAUCAAAAAUCGAAGCAUCAUCCAUGUAAGAAUUGCAAUCGCACUGGUCAUAUAUUUGCUAACUGUCCUACUAUAGAGUGUAGGUACUGCCAUGGUAUCGGUCACAUUCUUGAACAUUGUCCCACGCGACCUCCAAAAAAAAUCGUGGCUUCACCAAAUCCAAGAAUGUUCCAACGUCUGGAUCUUCCUCCAUCUCUGCUGCUGCCACUGAAGGUUCGACGACCAUCACUUUGA